AAGGAGAGUAAAGCCUGAUUAAGCUCCUGAAGGCUGGGAUUAGGAGAAUGAAGCUCUGGGUGUGGAGCUGAUACAAAUCUUUGUGGUUUUUUACAUCAGAAAGGCUAGGACAGCUCCUAGCCACUUGUCUUCACAAAGAAGUCAGAGAGCAUCUUGAAGACCUCAGGGACAGCCCAGGAAGAGAGUUCCUCAGAGAGUCAGUCUGCUACCACGGAGCAGAGCUAUUCACUGUUCAAAGAAAACUGAAACCCAACCACUGGGCCCUCAGCCCGAGCAGUUGUUCUGACCAACUGAGCUAAAGGAAUACGGACAAAUACUCAGAGAACCCCCAGAAAACAGUGUAAAAUGUCAUCAGACAUCCAGUUGGGAGAGAAUGAAAGUAACAACAGAUGUCUCCUGGGCACGUGCCAGAAGUCAGAUACUGUUCACAGCGCUUUCACAGCAACCCAAUGAGAAGCAACCACUAACAUCCUGGUCUCCACAAGCAGAGUACGUAAAGCAGAAAAUUGAUGCACUCUGUCUGGGUCAUUCAAGCAAAAUCCUGCUAUGAUCCGGGUGAUUCAGGUUAAAAUAAAAAUCAGCUUUCUGACUGAAAGUGUGUGUUU
rnacentral:lncRNA from 1 species